rnacentral:rRNA from 1 species
AUGAGCGAGUCUGGGCAGAGGUCGAGGCCGUGGCCACCGGGGGCGGCCGCGAUGGCGCCGUCGGAGCCGGCUGCGGCUGCCGACGCGAGGGGCGAGGCGACGACGCUGAGGGACUUCGGCACGUCCAUGGACGCCAUCUCCUUCGGCUUCGCGGCCACGGCCAUCCUCAUCUCCAUCUUCCUCCUCAUGGCCAUCUUCGAGCACCUCAUCAGGCCCCAGGCGUUCCAGGCGCCAGCCGGCUCCCCGCGCGGCCGACGCCGGCGUGGCCACCGCUCGCCCGGCAAGCCCCGGAGCCCGCCCAUGGUGCAGACGGUGCUGCAGGCGGCGGACCUGUCGGUGCUGAUGCCGGGGCAGCGGUACCCGACGUACCUCGCGCAGCCGGCGCCAUUGCCGCCGCCGUGCCCCAGGGAGGGGGUGCACUGGCCGCCGCACGACCACCGCCGCUCCCAAAUGCCACCCUGA